GGGCACAUGGUGUAGUUGGUUAUCACGCUCGCUUAGCAUGCAUGCGGCAGGCAGCAAGCGUCGAGUCUGCGAGAGGUGUUGGGUUCAAUUCCCAAUGUGUCCA